GACGACGCUGGCGGCGUGCCUAACACAUGCAAGUCGAACGGGGGUAUUAUUUCGAUGAAUACCUUAGUGGCGAACGGGUGAGUAACGCGUGAGCAACCUAUCCUUAAGAGGGGGAUAACAUCUGGAAACAGAUGCUAAUACCGCAUAAGACCACACUGCCGCAUGGCAGAGGGGUCAAAGGAGCAAUCCGUUUAAGGAGGGGCUCGCGUCCCAUUAGAUAGUUGGUGAGGUAACAGCUCACCAAGUCAGCGAUGGGUAGCCGAGCUGAGAGGCUGAUCGGCCACACUGGAACUGAGACACGGUCCAGACUCCUACGGGAGGCAGCAGUGGGGAAUAUUGGGCAAUGGGGGGAACCCUGACCCAGCAACGCCGCGUGAGGGAAGAAGGCCUUCGGGUUGUAAACCUCUGUCAUUAGGGAAGAAGAAAGUGACGGUACCUAAUGAGGAAGCCCCGGCUAACUACGUG
rnacentral:rRNA from 1 species